rnacentral:rRNA from 1 species
AGUGAACGCUGGCGGUAGGCCUAACACAUGCAAGUCGAACGGCCGCACAGUAAGAGCUUGCUCUUACGGGUGGCGAGUGGCGGACGGGUGAGGAAUACAUCGGAAUCUACUUUUUCGUGGGGGAUAACGUAGGGAAACUUACGCUACUACCGCAUACGUCCUACGGGUGAAAGCAGGGGAUCUUCGGACCUUGCGCGAUUGAAUUAGCCGAUGUCGGAUUAGCUAGUUGGCGGGGUAAAGGCCCACCAAGGCGACGAUCCGUAGCUGGUCUGAGAGGAUGAUCAGCCACACUGGAACUGAGACACGGUCCAGACUCCUACGGGAGGCAGCAGUGGGGAAUAUUGGACAAUGGGCGAAAGCCUGAUCCAGCCAUACCGCGUGGGUGAAGAAGGCCUUCGGGUUGUAAAGCCCUUUUGUUGGGAAAGAAAAGCAGCGGGUUAAUACCCCGCUGUCCUGACGGUACCCAAAGAAUAAGCACCGGCUAACUUCGUG